AUCAGAGCAAGUGGUCAGUAAAAGACAUGAACACAAGGAUGCCUACAGUGAUGAGUGUCCCCAGAACUUUACCUCUGCCAGCUGUAUCACCUGUCCUGAGGGAACACUCCCUACUUGCACCUAUGACUGAUUUCCUCCUGCCACUCUCCUAACUUGUCUCCUCUAGGCUCAGUGCCCUCCACUUCCAGAUAACUGCUCAGGCUGAGUACCAACCUCUGUCCAAGACCACAACCCAUAACCCCCUGGACCUGGCAUUGGACAAGUACCAGACACUGGCUAAAGCACCGACCCCUUGAAUGGAGGCUGAGACAGCUCUACAUCCAAUUCCAGCAGGAAGCAGUUUCAGAAGCUGAGACCUUUGUCCCUUACCCCAAAAGAUUUUGGGUCCCAUCUGUUUAAGGGGGGAAUGAUGGGGUGCUUGGGUGCUUGUACUGGAACCCCAGUUCCAUGACCAUGUUUCUCCCUAGCCUGAGAAACACUAUCCCUGGCAGUUUCUCCCCAGCCCAAGGACACUGUGCCUAGCAAUUACUCAUGAGUAGGCCCCAG